GAUGAACGCUGGCGGCGUGCCUAAUACAUGCAAGUCGAGCGAACAGACGAGGAGCUUGCUCCUCUGACGUUAGCGGCGGACGGGUGAGUAACACGUGGAUAACUUACCUAUAAGACUGGGAUAACUUCGGGAAACCGGAGCUAAUACCGGAUAAUAUAUUGAACCGCAUGGUUCAAUAGUGAAAGACGGUUUUGCUGUCACUUAUAGAUGGAUCCGCGCCGCAUUAGCUAGUUGGUAAGGUAACGGCUUACCAAGGCAACGAUGCGUAGCCGACCUGAGAGGGUGAUCGGCCACACUGGAACUGAGACAAGGUCCAGACUCCUACGGGAGGCAGCAGUAGGGAAUCUUCCGCAAUGGGCGAAAGCCUGACGGAGCAACGCCGCGUGAGUGAUGAAGGUCUUCGGAUCGUAAAACUCUGUUAUUAGGGAAGAACAAAUGUGUAAGUAACUAUGCACGUCUUGACGGUACCUAAUCAGAAAGCCACGGCUAACUACGUG
rnacentral:rRNA from 1 species